ensembl:lncRNA
GGAUUUUAGUUUUUUUCUUUUUAUGUAUAACGGGGCAUGCCAAGUCACAGCAUUCUGGUACGUCGCGACAAAAAGUACAGCAAGACACGUUGAAAAUGAAUGUAUUCACACACGCACACACACACACACACAGACACACACAGACACACAGACACAGACACAGACACACACACACACACACAGACAGACAGACACACACACACACACACACACAGACACACACAGACACACAGACACACAGACACACACAGACACACAGACACACAGACACAGACACACACACAGACACACACACAGACACACAGACACACACAGACACACACAGACACACACACACACACACACACACACACACACACACACACACACACACACACACACACACACACACACACACACACACACACACACACACACACACACACACACACACACACACACACACACACACACACCUCUGUUUUUAUACAGACCAGAAUAAUUCAUAACUUCAUAUCAGCAUUAAGAAGUACCUACUGAGUGCAGAAAGCAACGUCCGGGUUCACGGUCGCGCUGCAGAACCAGAGUCAAGACAUUUAGAGUUUUAAAGCAGCUCGUAUCUGAUAAGAAGCUGUGUUAAUUAGUGGAAAACAUCCAAAAAAUUACUAAAUUUAACUGAGAGCUUUGACAUUUUACUCCAUGAAGUUUAACUGGUGCAACAAAGCUGCACUUUUUCAAACAUUUAAAUCAGAAAAAGUGUCGAAACAGUUGUAGAAAUUAGAAAUCUGUGCAUCAGACUGUUUUUUGUGUAAAAUAGAUCAAUGUAUACAUAUAUAAUGCAGAAAAUAACUACAAUGACAUCAUAAUUUACUGCUUCUAAUGAACAGAAAAUGCUGCUCCUGCCAAUAGAACAGCAUCAACAGUAACUCUGAUGAAUAAAGUGGCUGAAAUGUGACUGAAUGAAGCAGGAAGUGCUAAAUAUGUGAUGUUUUUUAUCAUAAUGAGCAGAUUUCUGGCUCUCUCUACGAUACAGGUGGAGCUGCAGCACUCAUCGAAUCACAGAUAAAGAUCUGAUGCACAUUUUAAUGCAUGUUUUUAAAGACGCAGCGAAAGAUGCAGCUAAAUGUUCCACUUCAGGAGUCCACUGACUGAUUCCUGACACGUUUUCAGCUCAACUGUCUGUAACAGAGGAACUGAUCUGCCGUUACGUGAAAGAGUAACGAGAUAAUCACAUUAUUUUCAGUGAAAUGUUGCUUUUUAAAGACUAUUACAGUCUAGGAGGCAGCGCAAUUAAAGCCAAAUAAAUGAUAUUCGAGCAUCUCAAAUGUGUUUGUCUUUCAUUAUAGUGAACUAAACAUCUGUAAGUUUUAGACACUUGGUCAGAAAAGCAGCAAAUUUGAGGCAUUAUUGGAUAAAUAAGUGCUCUGGGAAACUGUGACGGAUCAUUUUCUGCAUUUUUUGGACCAAUCAGUUAAUUAGAAAAACAAUCAGCAGAUGAGCUGAUAAAGGAAAUAAUCCAUAGCUGCAAAAAAAAUGAAAUUUGAUUUGACUUUAGUCUCCUUUUGUACUCUAGAAAUGACUGAUUUAUCUAGAAGAUGCAGAGAACCUUGUUUUACUGUAUUUGUUAUUAAUUAGGCCAAACAUGGACUAAAUGAUCAGAAUGAGAAAGAAAUGGAACCAAGUACGAGCUAAAUUAAUUAUCAUUUUUAAACAUUUUUACACCCUUCUCAUAAAGACAAUCAAAAUAUGAGAAUAUUGGCAUCAAAAUGAUUCAGAAAGUUAUUAAAAAACAGCUAAUUAACUCCCUGAAACAAUCCUUGGAUCACAUCAGAACGUUAAACAAUCUAAAUUCUGACUCUUGGCUGCAGAGUGAACGCGACCCGGCCGUCUUUAGUUUCUUCCUGCAACGUUACAGUUUUUAAAGUCCAUAUAAAACCAUUUACAUUUGGGGUAAAUGUCUCGAGUACAAAAAAGGCACUGCCAUUUGUUAUUCUAAAUAUGACUUUCCCAGCCUUGUGCAUGCAGUUUUUUAAAAUAUAAAUUACACUUAUUUUUUUUUGUCCUUCCUGGUUUUUCUUCGUUUCUUUUUUCGGCAUUUUUUCUUUUCGUUUUUGAGUUUUUUUCAUUUUUAUUAUUAAACAUACAAUAUUCUUUUUUUUGUCAAAUAUAUACGUAAGCCUGCAGUCAAUACAGGACAUCGGCUCUUUGAUAAAAUAAAACUAAAUGUAAAGUAAAAGGAGCACAGUCAAGCGGUAACACUUUGUUACAGAACUGCUGAAUUUACAAAAACAAACAAAAACAACAAAAAGAAGUCUUGGCAUCCCAUAUCGACAUAAACUGACUAAACUGCAGAAUCUAUGACAACAAAAAAAAAGAUACAAAACAGCAUAUAUGUCUCGACUUAAAGUACAUUAAAUGUUUUUGGAAUAUCAAGGCGUUUGUCUAACUGUUAAUACUGCAGUGUGCACGGCAUUAGAAGCACUCCCACAGAGCUGAUAUGCAUUCAGAACAAAUAGAAAAUUUAAAAAAACAACAAGCAUUUGGUUUUGAAGAGAUGUGUAAUGAUCCGACCUCAAAGCUGAAACCCUCCGCUGUCCCGUCACAGGUUCGAUCUGAGUUCAGGAGGCGAAUCUUUAGACGCUGCAGGACGUCGGCUUCUAAACACAACAAAUCCUGAAACUGAACUGUUCUGUCGCCUGGAAGAAUCACAUGAACUUGGGUUAUUUGAAUGCUGCCAGACAGUAUUUUAUAGAAAACAAAAGAAGGAGAUUUAGUUUAAAUCUCCUGAACUUUCCACUAACACUUUUAUGACUCAAAAAUGGCACAGCGAUAUGAACGUAAAUAAAAAAUACUGCACAAACACUAGUUUUGAUAAUCCCUUUGAUUAUGUUGCUUGACUGCAGGUUCUGAUACCUUUUCUGAAUAUAAAAAUACAGAAACGAGCCGUUAGUCGAUCCUAACAAGUAAAUAUGUGGCGUGUUCUUUAAAUACUGUAAACACGUCGUAGUUUACUUUGACUCCAUCCUGCUGCCACAAAUACCCACUAGAGCAGAAAACGUGUAUUAAACCUCAGCUGAAAAUAGUCUGUAACAGAUUCUCUCCUGUUUGAGUGACUUUUGUUGAAAACUACAGUAAAGUACUGCGAGUAACAUAUUAUUGAAUCAAGUCUUUUCAUGGGAUUCGUUAAAGAGCCCAUAUUCUGCACAUUUAAAGGUUUAUAAUUGUGUUUUUGUGGUCUACUAGAAUAUGUUAACAUGCUUUAAUGUUCAAAAAACACAUUAUUUUCCUCUUAAUGUACAUUUCUCUUCUUACCAUCUGUCUGAAACGCUUCAUUUCAGCUCCAGGCUCAAUAAGCAACGCCUCCUGAGGAGCAAAGUCUGCUCUGAUUGGUCAGCUGAGCCGACAAAAAACAGGAAGUGUUGAUUAGUAACCUCUGAGUACAGGGAUGUAGCUCGAAAGGAAGCAGCUCUAGUGAGGAAAAUAUACAAAGCAGAUGCCUUUUCUGUGUUUUGAGAACCAAAUUAGCCAUUUAGCUAGCAAAUGUGUUACACGAUGAUGUCAUUAAGUAACAUAAGAAAGGCCUGGGCUUCAAACGAGGUGUUUCAAUCAGGUAACGAGCAGAGCUUUCUGUGUUUAUUUUGGGCUUUCUAGGUUUGCAGACCUUUUACAUGCACAAAAAAGCUGAAAGAAAUAAGUAAAUCUAAACAUGGGCUUCAUUUCAGCUCCUGUGUCUUUAAGCCCCGCCUCCUGAAAAGCCACGUCUGCUAUGAUUGGUCAGUUGAACCUCAGCUCUCUGAAUAAGGGGAUGUAGCUCAAGCAGAAGCAGCUCUAGCGAAGAAAUAAUAGAAGACAGCUACCUUUUCUGUGUUUUGCAUGUCAAAUUAGCCACUUAGCUAGCAAAUGUGUUACACGAUGAUGUCAUUAAGUAACAUAAGAAACUCCUGGACUUAAAACGAGGCAUUUCAAGCAGGUAAGGAGCAGAGUUUUCUGUGUUUUCUUUGGGCUUUUUACGUUUGCUGACCUUUUACAUGCACAAAAAGGCUAAAGGAAUUAUGGAAAACGGAAUAUGGGCUCUUUAUCGUUUAGAAAAAAUAUAGAAUAAUGCCAAAUUUAUCCUUUAAAACAACAUAUACAUAAACCAAAGAGCUUCUCCCACACAGGACCAGUUAGGCCGUGAUAAACCAACAGCACUAAAUUCACAGUCCACAUCUCAAAUUCUAAUUUUACUGUAAAGCCCAGAAUGGACCGGUCUACUUCCUGAAAAGACUAACACGUCGCAGUUUUUUUUUUUGCUGACAGUUGAAUUUUGCAACCGAAUCUGUGACGGACCUGCUCUCCGACAGUCCAAAUGAAAAAUCUGAACAUGACACCGAUAGAUACAAACGAGAUUAUAGUUCAACAACAGCAACAACAAAAUAAAAGAAAAAAAACAGUCAGUCAACAAUAACUAUGUUAAUAUUUG